UAGCUUGCUAUAAUUCUCUAGUGGCGCACGGGUGAGUAACACGUGAGUAACCUGCCCCCAAGAGUGGGAUAGCCCCGGGAAACUGGGAUUAAUACCGCAUAAAAUCGCAAGAUUAAAGCAGCAAUGCGCUUGGGGAUGGGCUCGCGUCCUAUUAGUUAGUUGGUGAGGUAACGGCUCACCAAGGCGAUGACGGGUAGCCGGUCUGAGAGGAUGUCCGGCCACACUGGAACUGAGACACGGUCCAGACACCUACGGGUGGCAGCAGUCGAGAAUCAUUCACAAUGGGGGAAACCCUGAUGGUGCGACGCCGCGUGGGGGAAUGAAGGUCUUCGGAUUGUAAACCCCUGUCAUGUGGGAGCAAAUUAAAAAGAUAGUACCACAAGAGGAAGAGACGGCUAACUCUGUGCCAGCAGCCGCGGUAAUACAGAGGUCUCAAGCGUUGUUCGGAAUCACUGGGCGUAAAGCGUGCGUAGGCGGUUUCGUAAGUCGUGUGUGAAAGGCGGGGGCUCAACCCCCGGACUGCACAUGAUACUGCGAGACUAGAGUAAUGGAGGGGGAACCGGAAUUCUCGGUGUAGCAGUGAAAUGCGUAGAUAUCGAGAGGAACACUCGUGGCGAAGGCGGGUUCCUGGACAUUAACUGACG
rnacentral:rRNA from 1 species